CAAGGCUAUGAUGGGUAGGGGUUCUUAGUGGAAGGUCCCCCACACUGGCACUGAGAUACGGGCCAGACUCCUACGGGAGGCAGCAGUAGGGAAUAUUGGUCAAUGGGCGCAAGCCUGAACCAGCCAUGCCGCGUGCAGGAUGAAGGCUCUCUGAGUUGUAAACUGCUUUUGUACAGGAGCAAAAAAAUCCCUGCGGGGGUUCUUGAGAGUACUGUAAGAAUAAGCACCGGCUAAUUCCGUGCCAGCAGCCACGGUAAUACGGGAGGUGCAAGCGUUAUCCGGUUUUAUUGGGUUUAAAGGGUGCGUAGGCGGCUUAUUAAGUCAGUUGU
rnacentral:rRNA from 1 species